GUAGUACCCCCUCUGUCCUAAAUUACUUGUCACAGAAAUGGAUAUAUCUAGACGUAUUUUAGUUUUAUAUACAUCAAUUUCUAUCCCUUUCUGUGAUAAGUAAUUCUGGAUGGAGGGGGCAUGUA
rnacentral:pre_miRNA from 1 species